UACGGGGGGGGCAAGCGUUGUUCGGAAUUACUGGGGGUAAAGGGCUCGUAGGUGGCCAACUAAGUCAGACGUGAAAUCCCUCAGCUUAACUGGGGAACUGCGUCUGAUACUGGAUGGCUUGAGUUUGGGAGAGGGAUGCGGAAUUCCAGGUGUAGCGGUGAAAUGCGUAGAUAUCUGGAGGAACACCGGUGGCGAAGGCGGCAUCCUGGACCAAUACUGACACUGAGGAGCGAAAGCCAGGGGAGCAAACGGG
rnacentral:rRNA from 1 species